GAGGUUCCUGUUCUCCAUCUGAGUGGGAUUGUUUUAUUUUCUUAAACAAGAGAGCAUAGAUGAUCCUUUCAGUUUAGGGACACCAAAACUUCCAUCUCCUUCCUGAAGAGCUACUGCUGAAUCCAACGUUUCUCAAGUAAAACCUUCUCCCUGAUCCCCACAAAUACUGGAACAGUUUGGGAAGGAGCCAGAACAGUGUGAACAGGGACACCAGAGGCUUUUCUGAAAAGCUGCUUGAAUAGGAGCCAAGAGUGUACUGCUAUUAUGAGCAAGGAGAAGUGGAUAAUGGGCUACUGCACACAUCGGGAAGGUGUGGCCAAAAGAUUGGAGGAAUUUAUUAUAACCCUCCACAUGGCUCUGGCAAUAGAUAUUCAGCAAGAACAUUCCGUUGGGACCUGCACCUGGACUGGAAUAGCAAGAGAUGUUGUAGACAAAACAAGAUAGAAGGCUCAAGGUCCUUGGAGGAGCUCCAGUGGGGUAGUUCUGAGAGUGGUAUCAGGGCAUGAGGGGUCUCAGGAUUGGAUGUCCCCAUUAGAUAUGAUUAUUAGUAAAAGACAUAAAAGUGUAAGAA